rnacentral:rRNA from 1 species
AUGAGAGUUUGAUCAUAGCUCAGGAUGAACGUUGGCUGUGUGCCUAAGGUAUGCAAGUCGGACGAUCCCUUUGAAUUACUUGAGACUUCGGUUGAUUGUUUUUCUUUUUGGGAUAGUGGCAAACGGGUGAGUAACAUGUGGAUUAUCUGCCCUGAAGACGGGAAUAGCUCAUCGAAAGAUGGGGUAAUACUCGAUAGCCUUACAUUCUUUUAGUUUGUAAGUAAAGCUUUUGCGCUUCAGGAGGAGUCCGCAUCCUAUCAGCUUGUUGGUGAGGUAAUGGCUCACCAAGGCUAAGACGGGUAGCUGGCGUGAGAGCGCGGUCAGCCACCAUGGGAACUGAGACACGGUCCAUACUCCUACGGGAGGCAGCAAUUAGGAAUCUUGCGCAAUGGGGGCAACCCUGACGCAGCGACACAGUGUGGAGGAGGAAGGUCUUCGGAUUGUAAACUCCUUUUAUGAGGGAAGAAUAGAUGACGGUACCUCAUGAAUAAGCACCUGCUAACUACGUGCCAGAAGCAUCGGUGAUGCGUAGGGUGCGAACGUUAUCCGGAUUUAUUGGGCGUAUAGAGAAGCGUAGGUGUUUUUGUAAGUCUUUAGUUAAAUACCACGGCUCAACCGUGGGGAAGCUUCGGAAACUACAGAAAUUGAGACAGGAAUGGGCGAAUGGAAUUCCCAGUGGAGCGGUGAAAUGCGUUGAUAUUGGGAGGAACAUCAGUGGCGAAGGCGAUUCGCUGGUCCUUGUCUGACACUAAGGCUCGAAAGCGUGGGGAGCGAAACGGAUUAGAUACCCGUGUAGUCCACGCCGUAAACAAUGGACGCUAGGUGUUCGGUACAACUACUUAAUCCUUCGGGAUUGAAUGGAAGUAUUGAGUACUGCAGCUAACGCGUUAAGCGUCCCGCCUGGGAAGUACGGCCGCAAGGCUAAAACUCAAAUGAAUUGGCGGGGACCCGCACAAGCGGAGGAGCGCGUGGUUUAAUUCGACGGCAAUCGAAGAACCUUACCAGGGUUUGAAAUGUAUCUGC